rnacentral:rRNA from 1 species
GACGAACGCUGGCGGCGUGCUUAACACAUGCAAGUCGACAUGAGUGGCGAACUGGUGAGUAAUUCGUUGGUCACCUGCCCUCCUUUUUGGGAUAAUCCUUGGAAACGGGGUCUACUACAGAAUAAAGGGGGAUGGGCUCGCGGCCUAUCUGCGUGUUGGUGGGGUGAUGGCCUACCAAGGCGGUGACGGGUAGCCGGCCUGAGAGGGUGAACGGCCACAUAGGGACGGAGAAGCGGCCCAGACUCGUACGGGGGGCAGCAGUGGGGGAUAUUGCAGAAUGGGCGAAAGCCUGAUGCAGCGAGGGUGAGUGAGGGAUGAAGGCUGUCAGGUUGUAAACCUAUGGCGGAAUCGAACGGGUAGGUGGAGAAGAAGCGCCGGCUAACUACGUGCCAGCAGCCGCGGUAAUAC